rnacentral:rRNA from 1 species
GACGAACGCUGGCGGCGUGCUUAACACAUGCAAGUCGAACGGUGAACUCCGCUUGCGGGGGGAUCAGUGGCGAACGGGUGAGUAACACGUGGGCAACCUGCCCUCAGCUCUGGGAUAACUCCAAGAAAUUGGGGCUAAUACCGGAUAUGACCGCUGACCGCAUGGUCUGGUGGUGGAAAGAUUUAUCGGCUGGGGAUGGGCCCGCGGCCUAUCAGCUUGUUGGUGGGGUAGUGGCCUACCAAGGCGACGACGGGUAGCCGGCCUGGGAGGGUGACCGGCCACACUGGGACUGAGACACGGCCCAGACUCCUACGGGAGGCAGCAGUGGGGAAUAUUGCGCAAUGGGCGAAAGCCUGACGCAGCGACGCCGCGUGGGGGAUGACGGCCUUCGGGUUGUAAACCUCUUUCAGCAGGGACGAAGCGAAAGUGACGUUACCUGCAGAAGAAGCACCGGCCAACUACGUG